rnacentral:tRNA from 1 species
GACCGCGUCGUUCAACGGCUAGGACACUCGCCUACUAAGCAUGAGAUCCCGGUUCGAAUCCGGGCGCGGUCG